GAUGAUGCCAUCUGCGGAUCUGCGGAUCGAAGAGCUCAAAGCAGAGCUUAUCUUAUCUCUUAGCGGGAGGAGAGAUCACCCUCUGGGUUCUCCCUCCCGACUGUUUCAAUGUCAAGUUCAGAGCUGACAAGAAUUUCAGAUCUUUGGUACUGAACGCUUCGAUUAUAAAUAUAUUUAAUGAUAUUUUCGGUUUCUAUUUAGUCGAUCGCACAGUUCCAAAAAGUUAUAAACAAAAAUAAACGACCUUGCGCCGCUCACCGAACAGAUACUAUAUCUUCCAUUGGAUCGAAUGGACACGGACACGAGGUCCAUUUAGUUGGAUGUAUUUAUUAUUGUUUUCCUCAGCUAUGCUAUACAUGAUUUCAUUGCUAAUGUUUGAAUGCCUAUUCCAUCGAGUUAUUUAUAGUCGGGGCCCGCUCCGAUCCGCACGCGGACAGUACGGUUGGGCCAGUGUUCUUGAGUUGAAUGAAUUCGUAUGCAAGGCGGCAUUGAGAAAUGUGGAUACACACGCUACAUGGGAUUGGGGCGUAUAUAAAUGAAUCCGUCAAAGUCAUCUUGGGCCCAACGAUACACCGAUGAGUUUCACUGACACGGACGUGGACACGGACACAGCACGGACACGGACACCGCCUCGCCUCGCUCCCGUGGCCAAACGACAGCGUCCCGCUGUGAUUGUCAAAGGAUGCGGGCAGGAAAAUAAUUAAAAAUUCAAUUUACAUGCAUUUUAGCCCCGCAAAAUGUGAGACUACACAAUUAUAUAGAAUACUGCAUCAACUGCCCGCCCACCCCUCGCUCACUGUCUAUAUAUGCAUAUAUAUGCUUAGCUUAGCGUGUGCCUUAAUGGUAUUGAAAUCAACAUGUCGGCUGUGGAUCCUAAAUAUAUUCAAAUUGUGCUCUGGCGCAGCGGACAAAUGCAUUAGAGAUGCAGGCAGUCGAGGCAAAAACACUUUCCUUAUGCAUGCUCAGAUCCUGAAGCUCAUAUUCUAGUCCGUAUCCCGGAAAUAAUUAAUGAGUUCUGUAAUAAAA